UACAGAGGGGGCAAGCGUUAUUCGGAAUUAUUGGGCGUAAAGGGCGCGUAGGCGGCUUUGCAAGUGGCGGGUGAAAUCCCUCGGCUUAACCGAGGAACUGCCUGCCAGACUGUGAGGCUUGAGACCGGGAGAGGUGAGUGGAAUUCCCAGUGUAGCGGUGAAAUGCGUAGAUAUUCGGAAGAACACCAGUGGCGAAGGCGGCUCACUGGACUGGUAUUGACGCUGAGGUGCGAAAGCGUGGGGAGCAAACAGGGAU
rnacentral:rRNA from 1 species